AAACCCAGCCACCCUGAAUCAGUCUCAGGCUCUCAGCCACUCCCGUGCGUGCUGCUGGAUAGGGUUUGCCGCCACCCUCACUGGUCGCCGCCGCCGCCCUCAUCGGUCGCCGCCGCCGCCCUCACCGGUCGCCGCCGCCGUCGGUUUCCCCUACAUGGCCGGUGGAUAGGCCAUCCCGCCGGUCCAUUCCCGCCCCACCCCCAUCCCGCGCGUGGAAUCCCCUUUGACUCCCAGCCGCCCCCGCCGACGCCCACCAGCCACGCCUGCCGGCGGGCCGCCUCGCAUCGCCCGAUCCGCCGCCCAUCCCGCCUCCUCACCCAGGUUCGUCCGGAGCUCCUCCUCCUCCCACCGAUACUGCCUCUGCUUGCUUGCGAUUGCCGCUGGAUCCGCGCUUGCUGCCGCUCUGGGCCGGGGAAUGGCCGGAUCUCUGCCCCGGGGACCGAGGAAUGGCCGAAUCUCGUCUGGGAUUCAGUGUUGAAAAACUUGAAAUGGUAGCGGUAGGUGGCGGCUUGGAUCUCACCAGCAAUGGACUGUGCGGGUCUCCUACCCAGGAGGAGGACUAGGAGGAGCAGGAGGAGGGGAGGCCUGCUGGGCGCGCGCAGGAGGCUCCCCGCCGGUCCCCGAAGCCUAAACUGCAAGAUCCACCCACGCCCUCUCCAUUGCCACUCCACCGGUCGCGUAGAGAAGAUCGAGAAACGCAGCCUAACGCCGGUGUCGAGCUGAUUCCGGGGAUGAUUCCACUCAAACGUAAUGAACAUAUAUGAACAGGUUUGCAGUACGUCCAUGCCUUUGGGGCAUCUGGAGCUUCACAUAAUUGCUAAUUAGUGGCUGGGAUUUUGACGUCGCCUCUUAUACAUAUAUAGAGUUGCACUGUGAUUAAAUUUAUAUUGCUUUAAUAAUGUUCAAGCUUGGAAAAUGAUGCUCAGUUCUAGACAAUGGAAAUAAGUUGUCAUUAUUUCAGAACUUAUCCGUGCACCGAGACUUGCUACUUUGAUUCUGUUGUUUGCUAGAGAGAAUAGCUAUGUAACCUGGCCGACCUCUCUAACCUCAUUUAUGAAUUUGGUUUCUUAGAGUUCAACCAUGUCUUUCAAAAAUCAAACUAAAACAUAUUCCAUUUAUUUAUCCCACUGUUUAUAGGCAAUCUGGUCAUACCUUUGUAGUUCUAUUUGGAAGACAGUUAGAGAACAUUAGCUACCAACAAUAGCACUAUUUUUUGUCCGGCGAGGACAUCGACAUGCAGCCUGCUACGGACUCCACCACCAAUCAUCCUCAUGUAGUGGCGUGAGGUGCCCAUGUGUCAAGAUGGUGGUGCAACGGCUGGCAACAGCAUGUCUGGAUGCCAUGGGCAGAUGGGUGACAGUGAUAUACGUCCUACAUAGAUGUAUGAUUUCCUCUCUUCCACUGGAUUAUGAUGAAAUUAAGGAUCAAGUAUCAUAUGCUUGCAUGAUAGCUACGUACAGUUUUUCUGUACAAAUGGUGUGUUGCACUGCUAUUUUGUUGAAAAGACAUUAUCUUGCGGAUCCUUUUAUUUCAUAGUUUCUUUCCCUUAUAAUAUUUAUUGAUGAUUUGGUUGAUUUCUUGACUAGAGGAUUUGAAGAUACAAAUAAUUAUUAUUUUAUGAAUACGUGGUAUGAUCAAAAUAUUAUUUACAUACAGGUAUACAAAUAUUAUUUAUGUACAGUUGAAUAUUUCUAGGCUUUUCUUUCUGUUCGUCCCAGACAUGUUUGCUUGGAUUAAAAACUGUUAUAGCGUCACCUUAGAUUUUAAACAUUUCUUGUGUGUAACUUGACAUGAUGUGUACCUAAUUAUAUAUUUUCUUCUGCAUGAUAUGUUGGUCUUUCUCAAUGCACUCCAUCUCAGCCGCUUCAGGUCACCAUGAACUCAGUCCAUCAGUGUUACAAAUUUAUGAGUUCUUCCUUUUAUAUCUAUUAUAUUCAUGCCAAACUACAUUUAUACUACCAAAACCAUUCUAGUUGAUACAUCACAUACACUUCUCAAAUAUGUUUUCAUUGGCAAAAAAAUCAUCGCAUGCUUCCAUUUAUACUACCAAAACCAUUCAGGAAGUAACACAUGUCCAUCUAUACAUCCUUCCAUUGGCAAAAAAAUCAUCGCAUUUUUUGUGUGUUUCAUUUAUAGGUUAAAUGGUAUACAAAUUUUUUGGUUAUGUUCAUAUAAUUUUGUCAUGUAGUUUGUAGUGUUCUUAAUAAGGAAAAAUGCUAUAGCUACCUUUUUUAUUCCAAACUCAUGCGGAGACACGUGUAGUUUUAUCCACACGAUAAUAUUAAUUUUGUCACUGGACCGUAUAUAUGAACCCAUUUUUGUAUAUAGUUUUCAUAAGAUAAAACAUUUAUAUGUCUAUUUAAUUUCUUAUUUUGAAUUUUUUUAUACAUAAAAUAUUUGUAGUUUUUAUUCAUGCAGUAAGAAUGUUCUUUAUGUGUUGACCAUAUAUCUCAAACGAUGGCAGUUUAUAUAACUUUCUAGUAUUUAAUUCCGUAGUAAGAAUGUUCUUUAUGUGUUGACCAUAUAUCUCAAACGAUGACCAUAUAUCAAAGCUUAUUUGAUCCGAUAUAUCUGAGGCGUUUACUAUGAUUGCUAUGACUUUUAAUAAUCAGUAAUUAUAACCUGUGAAUGUUGGAUGUUAUGUCUUCUUGCACAACGCGUUGAAUGUUGUACAAUGGAUUGAUAAGUUUCAUCAGCAUUGCUUGCUUCCACAUGGCAUGUGUGACAUGCUAUUGAUCAUCUAGCGAGGAGACGCCACAUAUAAACGUCGAGCUCGCAGAUGUGUCAUGCUAUAACAACCUCCUUUAAAAUGUUGUAUCAUCUGCCACAAAAUUGAUAGUUAAUUCAAUAUUAUUGUGUCAUUGUAUUACUUUUUUUAAUGAUUUGAGAUUACUCACCACAUGCCAGCCAAUGUGCACGUCUCUUUUUUGAUAUAUUAUUAGAAACUCCUGAUUUGAGCUGGUUAAUAUUUUUGGUAGUCAAAAUUACUGAAAUAUUAUAAACUACAAAAAUAAGGAUCGACCCCAGCUUGCUAAUCCAGAGCAUAGCCCUAUUUUUUUGCUGAUCUCAUCGCAUGAAAUACUCUUUUUUUGGCUGAUCUCAUCGCAUGAUAUACUCCCUGUGUAAAACCCGGACUGGAGUGCUCUAGAUUGGCUUAUAUUUAAUACGGGCUGAAACUUUCCAUCCUUAGCCAAUACUAUAUUAGAGAUGCUAAAAAAAGCCAAUACUAUAUUAGUACUUUUGAUUUCAGUUGACACCGGAUUGGUUACUCAUAUAUACAUGGAUGUGCGUAUGUGGCCAGGACUUAUGUACGUGUCCGACCUGCCCUCUUUUACUUUUUCUUAGCAUGAGGUCUGGACAACUGCUUAUGUGUAUACGUGAUCAUGACUCUUUUUGACGGGCUAUUUCUAAUUCUUUCUAUUUUAAGGAAAUAUUUCUAAUUCUUUCUAUGUCCCAUUUUGUAGAUUUGCUUCAGAUCACGGAAGCUUGGGUUGAUGGAGUGCUUGUCUUUAGUUUUUGUUUUGACUUUGUGAAACUUGCUACCUAUGAUGAAACUGUGUAAUAUUGAUGAAACUAUGUAUAUGUAUGGAUGAAACUUGCUACUAUUGGUAAACUAUUGGUAACA